rnacentral:misc_RNA from 1 species
AAAAAAUUUUUUAAUUUGGGCUUUGGAAGCAGAAGAGCCAGCUCAAAGCUAAAUUAAUCCAAAAAAAUGCCGAUUACUAGCAUUGCAAUUGGAUCUCCAGCGGAGGCUAGCCAACCAGAUGCCCUGAAGGCAGCUCUUGCAGAGUUCAUUUCAAUGCUCAUUUUUGUUUUUGCCGGUGAAGGCUCUGGCAUGGCAUUCAACAAGCUGACCGAUAAUGGGUCAACAACACCGGCCGGCCUAGUAGCAGCCUCUCUGGCUCACGGAUUUGCACUGUUCGUGGCGGUUUCAGUAGGUGCUAAUAUUUCCGGUGGGCAUGUAAACCCUGCUGUUACUUUUGGUGCCUUUGUUGGUGGCCACAUAACAUUGAUCAGAAGUGUUCUCUACUGGGUUGCUCAAUUGCUUGGUUCUGUGGUUGCCUGCCUGCUUCUUAAGUUUGCUACUGGUGGAUGGGAAACAUCUGCUUUUGCCCUAUCAUCUGGAGUUGGUGCAGGGAAUGCACUUGUUUUCGAGAUUGUCAUGACCUUUGGUUUGGUGUACACUGUAUAUGCAACAGCCGUAGACCCAAAGAAGGGUGACAUAGGGAUCAUUGCACCCAUUGCAAUUGGCUUCAUCGUGGGUGCCAAUAUCUUGGCUGGUGGUGCCUUCGAUGGUGCAUCCAUGAACCCAGCA